GAGAUAGUUAUGGAGGUCACAGUUCAGUCACAGAGAUAGUUAUGGAGGUCACAGUCCAGUCACAGAGAUAGUUAUGGAGGUCACAGUCCAGUCACAGAGAUAGUUAUGGAGGUCACAGUCCAGUCACAGAGAUAGUUAUGGAGGUCACAGUCCAGUCAUAGCCGACUGUGGAAUACUGGAGAGGUCCUAAAACACCCGGGUGUCUCCGCGUUCCUAGAAACACUGCACUUCGUUUUUGUGAUGUGUGCAAGUGGAGCUGAUGUCACAAUAAUUCAUACAAAAACAGAAACAUAUUUUUACUGCAAUAUUAUCAUUAAGUAAAAUGGUUGAUACAGCGAUUAUACAUUAUAUGUAGCGUUCAUGCAUUAUUACUUUGUCUGUGGUUUACUUUUUGAAUAACUCUCCAUGGUGGUUGUGAUUGUUUGGUAAUGCUGCAGACAGUCUGCGAGUGUGGAGAAUCUAAAAACUGUGAACCACUUUCAC
rnacentral:lncRNA from 1 species